UUACGGCCACAUCACUUUGAAACAUCAGCUCCCGUACGAUCACUGACGUGAAGCAACGUCGAGCCUGGUUAUUACUCAGAUGGGUAACGGCUUGGGAAUAGCAGGUGCUGUAA